rnacentral:rRNA from 1 species
AUUGAACGCUGGCGGCAUGCCUUACACAUGCAAGUCGAACGGCAGCACGGGAGCAAUCCUGGUGGCGAGUGGCGAACGGGUGAGUAAUAUAUCGGAACGUGCCCAGUAGUGGGGGAUAACUGCUCGAAAGAGCAGCUAAUACCGCAUACGACCUGAGGGUGAAAGGGGGGGAUCGCAAGACCUCUCGCUAUUGGAGCGGCCGAUAUCAGAUUAGCUAGUUGGUGGGGUAAAGGCCUACCAAGGCAACGAUCUGUAGUUGGUCUGAGAGGACGACCAGACACACUGGGACUGAGACACGGCCCAGACUCCUACGGGAGGCAGCAGUGGGGAAUUUUGGACAAGGGGGGCAAGCCUGAUCCAGGAAUGCCGCGUGCAGGAAGAAGGCCUUCGGGUUGUAAACUGCUUUUGUCAGAGAAGAAAUCCUCUAGGUUAAUACCCUUGGGGGGAUGACGGUAACUGAAGAAUAAGCACCGGCUAACUACGUGCCAGCCGCCGCAGUAAAAC